CCUCCUAUUUUCAGUUGGUUUUGGCAGCGCGAGGACUAGGGUAAUGAUUAAUAGGGAUAGUUGGGGGCAUUAAUAUUUAAUUGUCAGAGGUGAAAUUCUUGGAUUUAUGAAAGAUUAACUUCUGCGAAAGCAUCUGCCAAGGAUGUUUUCAUUAAUCAAGAACGAAAGUUAGGGGAUCGAAGACGAUCAGAUACCGUCGUAGUCUUAACCAUAAACGAUGCCGACCAGCGAUUAGGAGACGUUGAAUACA
rnacentral:rRNA from 1 species